GAAGAUGUAGCUCAGUAGUAGAGUGAAUGCUUUGCAUGUAUGAAGUCCUGGGCUCAGUCUCCAGCAUCUCCA
rnacentral:tRNA from 1 species